AUUGAACGCUGGCGGCAGGCCUAACACAUGCACGUAGAACGAGUGGCGGACGGGUGAGUAAUGUCUGGGAAACUGCCUGAUGGAGGGGGAUAACUACUGGAAACGGUAGCUAAUACCGCAUACCAUCAGAUGUGCCCAGAUGGGAUUAGCUGGUUGGUGGGGUAAAGGCUCACCAAGGCGACGAUCCCUAGCUGGUCUGAGAGGCUGACCAGCCACCUUGGAACUGAGCCACGGUCCAGACUCCUACGGGAGGCAGCAGUGGGGAAUAUUGCACAAUGGGCGAAAGCCUGAUGCAGCCAUGCCGCGUGUAUGAAGAAGGCCUUCGGGUUUUAAAGUACUUUCGGCGGGGCGGCGUUACCCGCAGAAGAAGCACCGGCUAACUACGUGCCAGCAGCCGCGGUAAUUC
rnacentral:rRNA from 1 species